GUUUAAUAGUCUUAUCACAGCAAGAUAGAAGCUGCGCACCUUGUGCAGCUGGAUCCUAAAAUUCCUAUCAGAUCGCUGACAGGUGCAGAGAUGAGGAAGCCUACAGAGGAAAGGUUGACACCCUGACACAGUGGUGCCAGGAAAACAACCUCUCCCUCAAUGUCCAAAAACAAAAGAGCAGAUUGUGGAUUUCAGGAGGAACAGAGACAGGCUCAGCCCCAUUCAACAUCAAUGGAUCUGCAGUUGAGAGGGUUCUGCUGAAGGCUUUCGGCCCAAAACGACGACUGUACUCUUUUCCAUAAACGCUGCCUGGCCUGCCGAGUUCCUCCAGCAUCUUGUGUGUGUUACUUGGAAUUCCAGCAUCUGCAGAUUUUAUCUUGUUUGUGUACAGUAAACUUGUAUUCUUUUGAAUGCAGGUUAAUUCAUAAUAUCAUUAGAAUGAUCAUGAUUAAAGGAUUAAGCUGGGGAAGAUAAAGAAAAUAAUUAUUCCUUCCUCUGAAAGAAGCCAGAAAAGGGGAACAUAACCCUAAAAUAAAGGAUUAUGUCAUAAAAAUGGUAGGAUAAAUCUCAAAUACCCCGUCCAAAAAAAAUUACAGAAGUUUGUCAAUUAACAUGUUUUGAACAGGCACUAACAUAUGGUCAUAUUAAGGGUUAAAAAAUUAAGAAACUAAUUGGAAUGACCAAAAAUUAUCUAUUGAAUGGCAGAAAGGAUUCAAGUGCACAGAUGGCCUUUUCAUGAUCCUACGUGAUUGCAUAUCUCUUGCCAUUAUGAGUGGAAAGGUUUUGUUUCAUUAGCAGAACAUCAUGUUAGACA